UACUUGCUUCUUCUACAUUACUAAACUCUUCUACUUAUUUCUUCUACAUUACUAAAUCUUUUUUUCUUUCAUCAUAUAGUACUUCUCAACAAUCCCAUAGAGAAGUACUAUAUUUGCAGUCUCUCUCUCUCUCUCUCACACACGCACACAUAUUGAUAGAGGGUACUAGAUGAUGGCAUGUAUUAGUGUUGACAGAAGAUAGAGAGCACAGAUGAUGAAAUGCUUGCAUAUAUGGAGCAUUUCUCCCCCCGCAUCUCACUCAUUCGUGCUCUCUAUGCUUCUGUCAUCACAUUAUGAUACGCUUGAAUCUCAUACCCAUAUAUAUACACACACUACUCAGCUUCUGGUACUACUACCAUAUUGGUUUUCCAUUAAGAUAUUUAUUAUCAUGUUGCACUAGCUAGAAACAAUGGAUGGUAAAGGAUAAAUCACGUUCCCCACUAACUAUAGGACUGAUCUUUCACAUGGGAAUUAGAAGAUGCUGACAUGAUGUGUGUGAAUUAGUUAGCCCUGCAUAAACAGGUGAUAUGUCGGUGUGAUAUAACUGUAUGCAUUAAACUGAUUCAGGUCGAGAAAUCGAUUCUUGCUAAAUAUAUAAGUAUCUAACUUCAUCUUAAUUGCAGUUUUGCAGUUUUAUUUACAAUCUGUUGAUAUCAUUAGAUGGAUGACUCAACAACUAAUCACUCAGGGAUCCGAGUUCCGAAAAUCACCUUCUUUUUUUCCUGAUCAGAAAAACACCUGUGUUGUAUUGUGUUUAAACAUGGAUUUCAUGCAAUUUCAUUUCAUGUUGGGGGUAGAGCUACCAGAGGAACUAGUAUUUUAUGCACUACUGAGUACUGAUACUCUUCUUUAACAUCUUUACUUCAAUAGUACUGGCGUGGCGCCCUAUAUAUAUAUAUAUAUAGAUGAGGAUUCACAAGGACGUACAACACUUCCCUCUUCUUUAUAACAAGACCAUUCUGAACCUAUGAGAAGUUAGAAGAACAUGGCAGUUUUUAUUCAUUGGCAGCUGAAUGCACACAAGAUGUGUCACAUGUUUAUGCAUCUUCUCUAGUUUUUAUUCUUUGGUUUUCCAUAUCAAUAUAUGACAAUAUAGAACCUCAUUUUAUAAAUUUUAUUCAGAAUUCAGAAAAGAAUACAUAUGAUUUAAUUUGUUACAAUAAUCAAUAGUUGGAUGAAUGCUUAAACAA